rnacentral:lncRNA from 1 species
UUUUGUUUUGUUUUGUUUUUUGCUUUUUUAGGGCCAUACCCAAGGCAUAUGGAAGUUCCUGGGCUAGGGGUCAAAUCAGAGUUGCAGCUGUCAGCCACAGCCACACCAGAUCCUUAACCCACUGAGCAAGGCCUGGGAUCGAACCCACAUUUUCAUGGAUACUAGUCAGGUUCUUAACCUGCUGAGCCACAACAGGAACUCCAAUACUCAUAUUUAGUGGUCACCAUGCAACAGAGAGGUUCAGAAUGUCUCAGAAUGCAUGCAGCCUGCUAGCAAAAAAGAAAAAAUCUCCCUCAGUGAGCACAAGCAGAGCUAUCAAGAGGCAGGGAGAUAUGAAGAAUGCCCAGCAAGCACAUGAAAAGAUGCUCAACAUCAGUAACUGUUAAGGAAACGUACAUCAAAACUACAAUAAAGCAUGGUCUUAGUCAUCUCAGGCUAGCGUAACAAAAUACCACAGACCUGGUGGCUCAUCAACAACAAAUACUUUUGCAAAGUUCUGGAUGCUGGAAGUCCAACAUCGGAGUGCCAGUAUAAUCAGGUUACAGUGAGGGUCCUUUUCUAGGUUGCAGAUGGCUGCUUUUUCAUCUGAUCCUCACAUGGCCGAAAGAGAGGAAGCCAGUUCUCUGGCCUCUUCUUAUGAGGACACUAAAAUUCAUGAGGGUUCCAUCCUCAUGACCUGGUUACCUCUUAAAGGUCCCAUUGGACUUAGGGUUUCAACAUACAAAUUUGGGGGUAGGGGAGAGGACAAAUAUCAGGUCCAUAGCAGGUAUGGGCUCACUCCAUUAAGAUGGCUACUAUCAACAAAGAAAAUAGGGAGUUCCCAUCAUGGCUCAGCAGAAAUGAAUCUGACUAGCAUCCAUGAGGAUGCAGGUUUGAUUAGCGGGUUAAGGAUACAGCGUUGCCGUGAGCUGUGGUGUAGGUUGCAAACUCGGCUCGGAUCCCCCGUUGCUGUGGCUGUGGUGUAGGCUGGUGGCUACAGCUCCUAUUAGACCCCUAGCCUGGGAACCUCCAUAUGCCGCGGCAGCGGCCCAAGAAAUGGCAAAAAAGACCAAAAAAAAAAAGUGUUUUUCAGAGUUUCCGUUGUGGCUCAGUGGUUAACGAAUACAACUAGGAACCAUGAGGUUGCAGGUUUGAUCCCUGGCCUCUCUCAGUGGGUUAAGGAUCCGGCGUUGCCAUGAGCUGUGGUGUAGGUCACAGACUCGGCUUGGAUCUGGCAUUGCUGUGGCUCUGGCGUAGGCCGGUGGCUACAGCUCAGAUUAGACCCCCAGCCUGGGAACCUUCAUAUGCCGCUGGUGUGGCCCUAGAAAAG